GGUAAGAUGGCUGAGUUGGUUAUGGCGCUAGGCCAGGGUUAUCUUAACAUGCAUCCUGGUUCGGGAAACUGAGCGUGAGUCCAAGUUCCACUCUUCUCA